rnacentral:rRNA from 1 species
UACGAAGGGGGCUAGCGUUGCUCGGAAUCACUGGGCGUAAAGGGUGCGUAGGCGGGUCUUUAAGUCAGGGGUGAAAUCCUGGAGCUCAACUCCAGAACUGCCUUUGAUACUGAAGAUCUUGAGUCCGGGAGAGGUGAGUGGAACUGCGAGUGUAGAGGUGAAAUUCGUAGAUAUUCGCAAGAACACCCGUGGCGAAAGCGGCGCGCUGGGACGGUACUGACGCUGAGGCGCGAAAGCGUGGGGAGCAAACAGG